rnacentral:rRNA from 1 species
CGAGUGGCGAACGGGUGAGUAUAUAUCGGACGUGCCCAGUCGUAGGGGGAUAACGUAGCGAAAGCUACGCUAAUACCGCAUACGAUCUACGGAUGAAAGCGGGGGAUCGCAAGACCUCGCGCGAUUGGAGCGGCCGAUAUCAGAUUAGGUAGUUGGUGAGGUAAAGGCUCACCAAGCCGACGAUCUGUAGCUGGUCUGAGAGGACGACCAGCCACACUGGGACUGAGACACGGCCCAGGCUCCUACGGGAGGCAGCAGUGGGGAAUUUUGGACAAUGGGCGCAAGCCUGAUCCAGCAAUGCCGCGUGCAGGAUGAAGGCCUUCGGGUUGUAAACUGCUUUUGUACGGAACGAAACGGUGAGCUCUAAUACAGUUUGCUAAUGACGGUACCGUAAGAAUAAGCACCGGCUAACUACGUG